rnacentral:rRNA from 1 species
AUUGAACGCUGGCGGCAGGCUUAACACAUGCAAGUCGAACGAGUGGCGGACGGGAGAGUAAUGCUUGGGAAUCUGGCUUAUGGAGGGGGUUAACUACGGGAAACUGUAGCUAAUACCGCUUACCAUAGGAUGAGCCCAAGUGGGAUUAGGGAGUUGGGGAGGUAAAGGCUCACCAAGCCGACGAUCUCUAGCUGGUCUGAGAGGGUGACCAGGCAACAUGGGACGUGGACACGGCCCAGAAGCCUACGGGAGGCAGCAGUGGGGAAUAUUGCGCAAUGGGGGCAACCUGACGCAGCCAUGCCGCGUGAGUGAAGAAGGCCUUCGGGUUGUAAAGUUCUUUCGGUAGCGAGGCGUUAACUACAGAAGAAGCACCGGCUAACUCCGUGCCAGCAGCCGCGGUAAUAC